CCUACGGGGUGCAGCAGUGGGAAAUAUUGGGCAAUGGGCGCAAGCCUGACCCAGCAACGCCGCGUGAAGGAAGAAGGCUUUCGGGUUGUAAACUUCUUUUAAGGGGGAAGAGCAGAAGACGGUACCCCUUGAAUAAGCCACGGCUAACUACGUGCCAGCAGCCGCGGUAAUACGUAGGUGGCAAGCGUUGUCCGGAUUUACUGGGUGUAAAGGGCGUGCAGCCGGAGAGACAAGUCAGAUGUGAAAUCCACGGGCUCAACCCGUGAACUGCAUUUGAAACUGUUUCCCUUGAGUGUCGGAGAGGUAAUCGGAAUUCCUUGUGUAGCGGUGAAAUGCGUAGAUAUAAGGAAGAACACCAGUGGCGAAGGCGGAUUACUGGACGAUAACUGACGGUGAGGCGCGAAAGCGUGGGGAGCAAACAGGAUUAGAUACCCCAGUAGUC
rnacentral:rRNA from 1 species